CAGCCGCCGCGGGAAUACGUAGGUGGCAAGCGUUGUCCGGAAUUAUUGGGCGUAAAGGGCUCGCAGGCGGUUUCUUAAGUCUGAUGUGAAAGCCCCCGGCUCAACCGGGGAGGGUCAUUGGAAACUGGGAAACUUGAGUGCAGAAGAGGAGAGUGGAAUUCCACGUGUAGCGGUGAAGUGCGUAGAGAUGUGGAGGAACACCAGUGGCGAAGGCGACUCUCUGGUCUGUAACUGACGCUGAGGAGCGAAAGCGUGGGGAGCGAACAGGAUUAGAUACCCCCGUAGUCCCUGUCUCUUAUAC
rnacentral:rRNA from 1 species